AUUGAACGCUGGCGGCAGGCCUAACACAUGCAAGUCGAGCGGAUGAGAAGAGCUUGCUCUUCGAUUCAGCGGCGGACGGGUGAGUAAUGCCUAGGAAUCUGCCUGGUAGUGGGGGACAACGUUUCGAAGGGAACGCUAAUACCGCAUACGUCCUACGGGAGAAAGCAGGGGACCUUCGGGCCUUGCGCUAUCAGAUGAGCCUAGGUCGGAUUCGCUAGUUGGUGAGGUAAUGGCUCACCAAGGCGACGAUCAGUAACUGGUCUGAGAGGAUGACCAGUCACACUGGAACUGAGACACGGUCCAGACUCCUACGGGGGGCAGCAGUGGGGAAUAUUGGACAAUGGGCGAAAGCCUGAUCCAGCCAUGCCGCGUGUGUGAAGAAGGUCUUCGGAUUGUAAAGCACUUUAAGUUGGGAGGAAGGGCAGUAAGUUAAUACCUUGCUGUUUUGACGUUACCGACAGAAUAAGCACCGGCUAACUCUGUGCCAGCCGCCGCCGUAACAC
rnacentral:rRNA from 1 species